GCUGGAUAAUAAAUAUUUUAGGCUUUGCUCACCAUUCAAGCUCUGUUGUAACUUCUCUAUUCUGUGAUUGUAGUACAAAAGCAGCUCUGAACAGUGCACAAAUGAAUAGGCUGUGUUCUGACGAAACUUUAUUUAGAGAGACAGGUGGUGAACCAAAUUCAGGCCACAGGCUGGAUUUUGCUGACCCUGGCUUAAGAUAGCAAAGACUGACUUUUCACUUGUGCCACACAUCUAAGGAGGGGUGGGAAUCUGCCCAAAGCAUGCUCUCAGAGGUUGAUGGAGAACCCAUGUCUACCCAUGCUUCCAUCACCACAGAGACCAGAUUCUCGAAACUUCUGCCACAGUGACCAGAUGCGUUCUGUUUGCAUUACGAACAUGUAGCCAAGCUGACUUCACAGAGGAUGAGAAGGACAAUCUAUUUGCUAAAAAAGCAGUGACUCCGACCUCACAAGCUAGAAGACCUGAUGUCUGGGCCCCCAAAACACGAUGGACAGCGCUUAUCCCCCACUGAGAGCGGAUGGGCAGGUGAGGACAGGGACAGUUGGCAGCCUGCCAGCCCUCCUCCUGCCCUGGGCUGUCUACUUUCCUGGCAGGUCACAAGCCAAAGCCCCUCAAGGCAAAUCAAUCCUGGAGGUGUCCAGGUGAGCUUGGGACAGGUAAGGGUACAAGGGCACUUUCCCUUGGGCACAAGUAGGAUUGCAGGGUGGUCCAGAGGAUGACACGGAAGCUGCAGCUGGAAAGCAGUGCCCCCUUGCCACUCCCUUCU
rnacentral:lncRNA from 1 species